UGGGGAUCAGCAGAGUCAUCGCCGGCAUUUGGAAAGGAUGGAUUUCUUCCACAUCAUCACGGAGACAGGCAAUGGAUGGGGGAAUGUACCGGUAUAUGCCACCUCCUGCUCCCAAUUCCAUUUAUUCUUCCACUCGAAUCUCUAUUUGAUGGCAUCAUUUCGACAAUAUGCAAAUCUCAUUUCCCUCAGACGCAUUGCAGAGACCACAAGCUGCGGCUGAUAUCCAGAUGGCCAUUAAAACCAUUGCUCUGGUACCUUGCCCCACCUCCGACCAUCCUCCUGGUGGCACACCUCCUGGCUGAUCCACAUCCACAUCCACCUCCACUGCUCUGCCCAGCAAGACAACAAAUUACAAAAAUUAAGAGACCAUUUUUGUGGAUGAAAUGUAUGGGACCGGAGGGUCCGUCCAAUGGCGGUCCGCUACGCACGGCAGGCGACACAAGUGGCCAAGGUCCUGCACACUGGCAGAAUGAGAGAGGUGUGAACAUGGCUGGCCACCCCCUGCACCCAGUCACUCACCGACAGAGGGGAGGCGUGUGCAAAUUAAUGAAAUUAAAUCGUCUUCAUUUGAUGGCUUUCAGAGCAAAGAAGAGAGGUUCACUCCCUGCAGGUUCACUCACAGCAAAUUUCCCCUUGUAGGAUUGGGGAAUGGAGAGAAAUCGAGAGAAUGUGUGGGAGAUAGGAAGAAGCAAGGCGGAGAAAGUUGCCUUGAACUUACCUCGUAUUGAAAUUGAAUUAAAGAAAGAAAUGAUUAAUAGAAAUACAAGGUACGAAAAAAUGUUAAAAGAUAUAAAUGAAAGAACAUGUUAAGCGAAUAUGAGAUGGAAAAAGAUGAAGAGCAGAUGUACGGAAAGAACAGGCUUUACCAAAUGGAACCAUGGCAAAAAAAAACUGAUACGAGCGGCGCCCGAACAUUUCCACAUACUUUCUCUCUCUCGAAAAUACCCGAUAUAGUAGUCCUUACUUUUCAACUUCAAUCGAUUCGAGCUGUCAAGUGCUAGGUGGGGGUUUAAAUCAACAGAAUUCAGUCUUGUCGAUAAGUUCCCUCAGAAAACAUAGAAUCAAACGUACGGAACGUUUAAGUGAAACCGAAAGUGAAGUGAAAACUCAAUGACGGCCUGCGGAUUGUUCGGUCUCCCGCCCCGUAGCCAGGGCCCUCAAGACACCUGUCCUCAUCAGUUCCGCAUCAAAAUUGUUAACACUUCUUUAAUUUUUCUGUUUCCUGUAAAGAUGUUCUUUUGGAUUGAUUUUUUGGAGAGAUUUUAGAGAUUCUUGAGGGUUACACAUACGAUAUACUCAUCACAGACUCGACUCUUGGCUUAAAUUUCUUGGCUGAUAUCCAACGGUCUACGAAACAGUCUACCAAAUGCAAGAUUUCUUGGGUGAAAACACUUGGGUUCUAGAACUGGAAUAAAACACAAUUACAGACUAUUUUUUCGAAACUGAAUACUGGAUAGUGGACUACGACAAUGGUCGGACAAAAUCGAUGCGGACUCGGAAAUGUACUUGGACCAUUCUUUGACACUUAUUUGGCUUUGAAAUGUGGAGUAGGCCCACUGGCACUACCAUGAUAGGAAAAAGCGGGUAGAACUCUACCUCUAUCGUGUUGUGGAAAAUAACUCAAUACGCUGUCAGACAUAACCACAUAUAUAAGUAAAUUAAACCAAAUAUCA
rnacentral:sRNA from 1 species